rnacentral:rRNA from 1 species
UAGGGAAUCUUCGGCAAUGGGGGCGAACCCUGACCGAGCAACGCCGCGUGAGUGAGGAAGGUUUUCGGAUCGUAAAGCUCUGUUGUAAGAGAAGAACGUGUAUGAGAGUGGAAAGUUCACACAGUGACGGUAACUUACCAGAAAGGGACGGCUAACUACGUGCCAU